rnacentral:lncRNA from 1 species
GGAAUGUUUGGGAAAUCCUGGGUUACCUAGAUUUCCUUCCGAAGAGAGUGCUUUGUAGAACAUGAACACAUGCUGUGGGUCUCUGAGAGGGGGCUACAGAAUACACCCCUUCCCUCCAUUUUGUGACCACAGAAUCUUUUUUUCCUCCUCUAAGUAUCCCAAGAGACUGUGGAUUCGUGCAGCUGAGAAACACUGAGCUAAAGUAUUCAUCAGAGAAAAGCACUACGUGUGGAAUCAUUUUCACCUUCGAGCCAGGCUUCUGGCUUCAGACUGGAUCCUCUCAGCCUUUUGUCAUGUGGGUGGGUGGCCCCAUUCCCCAUUUGAAGGUAGAACUGGAUGGAACAGAGAAUGGCCAACAGUCCACUCCAGAAGCUCAACACGGGGCACUGGGCCUUUGGGAAGAUAUUUAUUGAGCACCUAUUGGGUGCCAUCAGUUUGCUCAGGAGCUUUGUAGAAGGAGCCCUGUAAGAGAUGCGUAUUCCAGGCGCACAGUCAGAAGCCAGCCAGACAAGCCCAGAAAGGAGUACCACAUUGAUUCAUGACCAGACCUGCCGAUUUCCCACUCAUCCUAAUCAUUCUUCUAAGGAGGGGCUCCAGAAACCCAAGAGAUUGAGAGACCUGGUCAGAAAUAGAUCUGGGUACAAAGGACACACUCAACAAGUGGUAGCUGUUGACCUCACUGUCACCAUUCCCAACAUCGUCCCCAGCUUUGCCAUCACCACCACCAUCAUUACCAGAGUUAUUGCCAAAAUUGUCAGCAGCAGCACCAACACAGUGAUCACCAUCUUCAUUAUUGCCAAGUCACUAUCCCCAUCAUCAUCAUCAUCACUAUCAUCCAAGAUUUCUCUUAGAUUAUCCACUUUCUUAGGUUGGGGAACCCUGUUUUCUCUGUUAUUGCAGACAAAAUGACAAUAAAUACAUAGACUCACCUGGCUUAAAAAUAGUG